UUAAGAGGGUGCAGCCGUGAGAAGGCGAGAUUUCGAUAUUUUAGUGACUUUUGACAUGCUACUUUUCACAUAAUCGAAGCUUAUUAAAUAAAGAAAUGUACAAUUAUGUAAACAUAAAGUCUUAUAGAAGUGUACUGCAAAGGAAAAUUUUGGUAUUUAAUAGUACAUCUUUGUUUAAUUUGUCAUUUCUUAAAAGCAAAAUUUCAAAAGCGCUCGUCAGAGCUCACUUUGAGAUAUGAAAUUACCAUUAAGCUAUGUAAAUACAUUUUUUUAAAUAUUUUCGUAGGACAGAAUAUAUAGUCUAUUGGUGAACCACAGCGGAAAAUAUUAAAAAUUAUAUAUUUUAAUAAUUACGCACCCAUUUUUAUAAAUGACUUAUUAUACGAUUUUGGAAACAGCUUUUUAUGAGAAAAGCCCGAUUUUAUUCGUUAAAACUAUUUUGUAUCGAUUAACUGAGGAUGAAUAAAUAAUAAAAGUAAAUUUACAUAAUUAUUAUACGACGAUAGUUAUUACAAACUAUUAUUGAAAAUGGCCUAUAUAAUUACGCGCACGGGCGAAUGUGAUUUAGUACGCGCCGGGUCAUCCCAGAGGGUGGACGUAUCGCUCAUUUCCCGCGCGUCUAAAAGUUGAUUGACCUUACGUACGACCGAGGUUCAAAAGGAGUAUAGUGCGUCAUUGGAUUUGAUACUUUAGCAUGGGUAACAAACGCAAAAAUAUAGUUGCAGUAGAAAUGCGAAGUCUGCAGCGAACGCCAGGCAAUCAAAAAGGAGAAAGAUUAACGAGGAAAAAAACCAACGUACUCAUGAAUCUCCUGACAAUAACGACUCCUGUGUUGAUUCAAAAAAUAAUAAUCGUGACAAUGAAUUAUUUGAUGCACUCAUAUCGGAUCUGGAAAAAAUAGAUGAGAAAAAACAAAAUAUACAUUUAGAAGAAACGGCAAAUAUUGAAGAGUUUGAAUUGGAAGUGGAGCCACAAAAACAUAUCAUUCCUCCAUAUCAAAUUAUAGGAAGAAGGAUUGUUGAUUUCAUGUAUUUCUUUGAUCAAAUCAAAAUCGUAGCUAACCAUAAUCCUGGACUCGGUUGUUCAAUAAGUAAUGUUGAAAUUGUCAAAGAAAUACUUAAUGGCUUAGAAUCGACAAUCCACUUCAAAUGUACAAUGUGUAACAAGAAAUUUAAUGUCACACUAUGCAAUAAUAAUUUUCCAAAAGAGAUGACCACAAACCAUGCUGCAGUGACUGUUUGUAAAUAAUAAAAUCUAAAAAUGUAA